rnacentral:lncRNA from 1 species
CCACUUGAUCCAGGAGAUUCUAACUCAAAGAUAGUCGGGAUCCCAUAUCGAGCACAGAUGAUGCUCUAGUCCUUCGUGCCCAAUCUGGAUCCAAUUGUAUCAUGAAUGAAGGGGGGUGCAAAAUCACACCCUUCGCUCGCAUUGAUAGAAGCUUCCUCCGAAGAGGAAGAUGAAUUAGAAGAUCAAUUCUCGCUAAGACUCCUGGAACCC